rnacentral:lncRNA from 13 species
GUGGGAAGAAUUGCUGACUUCUUUUGGCUGGAAAGAAGGGAGUAAUAAAGAAAGCAAUGAUGACGUCCCAGUUGCAAAUUUUUCCAAUAAUCUAUUGCUGCCUAAUAAAGUAUUUUCAAAUUUAGUGACGGCAAAAUACAACCAUUUUAUAGGCUUAUAGUAUUCUGCGAGUUAGGAUUCAGACAGUAUAUUACUGACAUGAUUUGUUUUUGCUUCACAGAAUCUGGGACCUCAGGUGACCUGUCAGCUAAAGGGUGCGAUGUGACUUCUUCGUGUGGUUUUGGACUUCCUCACAACAUGGUGGCCUUGAGAUGGUUGGAAUUCUUACAGGGUGUCUCAGGGCUCAAAGCAUGAGAGCUCCAGUAAACAAAAGGAAAGCUUUAUGGCCUUGACGGCUCAGCUUCUGAAGCUACGCAGCAUCAUUUUUGGUAUUCUGGUAUUUUUCCUGUUGAUCCACUCUGUCCUGCUUUAGUUAUUAUGGAUGUUUGAUGGCUUCUGUGGAAAAUAAUGAAAUAAUCCCCCAGUCAGAAGGAUUCUGAGCUUUCCUAACAGUGAAAAUUACCUGGUGCUGGAUCUUUCCGAGUGCUCGCCAAGGCAGACUGUUGAGGAAGAAGCACACUCUGUUGGGGUCCAGCAGAUCUUGGCUCUGGUCAGCCCUUGCUUAGUCAAAUGUGACCUUGGCUAAAGACCUUAGUAGAAUCUGUGUUUUCUUGUCUGUGAAGUGGACGUCGUAAUUCCUGCUUCAUGAUGUCACAGAGUUUUCGUAAAGAUCAACUGGCAGUGUCAUAUGUGCUGAUCGCGGAAUAAGAGGGAAUUUGAGAGUCAAAGCUUCUGCCCACACAUGAAGGAUUCAUUCCAGCUGGGAAAGCACUUAAUAUACAGGGAAACAGAGCAGGUCAUCUCAAACAAAAAGGCGUCCCCACCCAGACCCCAACAGAGGGUUCGUGGAUCUCUCUCAAGAAAGAAUUCAAGGCGAGUCCAGAGUGCAAAGCAAAAGCAAGUUUAUUAAGAAAGCACAGUGGUGAGAGGACAGCUACUCCAUAGCCAGCAUAGGACGUUUCUGAGAGCAAGAGGAGGAGUGCGUCCACCCCCGGUACCAU